rnacentral:snRNA from 9 species
GUGUUCACUUUGGCAGCACAUGCACAAAAAUUGGAACAAUACAGAGAAGAUUCAUAAGGUGUCUGCGCAAGGAUGACAUACAAAUUUGUGAGGUGUUCCACAUAAAA